AAACCUAGGCUUAAGGGUUACCGUGAUCAAGAAGGCGGUUCCCCCAGGGCGAGGCCUUGUCAUUGCACUGCGACUUGGUUGACCCCUGCGAAUGCCCCAAAUGUGGGCAUCUCGGGCGCAUUAUUUUUGUUAGUCGGGACAGCGUUCGCGCUGUCCCGG
rnacentral:snRNA from 1 species